rnacentral:lncRNA from 1 species
CCGGUCACAGCGCAGCAAGGAUUUUCCAAGAGGCGGUGGCGACUGGCCCUUCCCCGCCUCCUGGCCGGGGAGCUGGCUCUUCCACUGCUGCGAGCCCAAAUCUAGACCUGACCUGGAGGCACAGUCUCGCAGGCUCUUGCUCCCUGUGCCCAGUAGCAGUUUGAGUCCGGGACACUCCCCAGGGCCAUCUGGGGCUGCCCAGGACGCUACAGCUGAUGUUUGGUCAUUUUCAAUGCCAAUUAACUACAAUGGUUCUCCCACACCUGGAAGCUAAUGAGUAAUGAGCACCUUUAAGGCUUAUUUCAAAUGUAAAAUCCUUGAGAUAAUGUACUAAAUUGUUCAGAAGGUUGUUUUCUUAGUAGAAUGCUACAGGAUUUUCUUUAGCCAUCCGGAGUUCCUGCCUUCGUCCCAGUGCCGGUAAAGACCAAGGUGGA